AAGAGUAAAGUACUUCCGCUUCCUUAGGUGGAGCUGGAAAGGUGGAGGCGGAAGUGACUGAUCAAUUCAGGGGCGUGGGGUUCGUUUAGGUUUUGCCCUGUGUAUGACCUCGUUUGGAGCCAUGAAACCAGGUGGCUUUUCUACAAUAUAAAGAUGGAAAUGGGAAGAAGAUGUUCAUUGCAAAUUAAGGAAGCUCUUCCACGAGUUCACGAAUGGAAAUAACAUCAAGAGUUUUUCAUCUUCUUAGUGUGCAAGUAAUCUCUGCUGGACUUCUCUAUCAAAGUGUUUGAUGCAGCAAAAUAAAUAUCAAGGAGUGCAAUUCCUGGAUUUAUGAUGUCUGAGGAAUAGUCUUAGUGGAUUAUCCCAAACUUGACACAUUUUUUGCAAAAUGCUAUACAAAAAGAAGAUACAUGCGAUUAUGACAAGAUUCUCCACUUGGUGUGACCAGUCUCAUACAACCCAAGGCUGUGUGUCCAAAGGCAACUGUACUGAUCUUGACAAUAAUCAAAAGGUAGCCAGGUGCAUCGGGGAAAGCACUGACAUUGGAGUCAGACAGACUGAAGUUCAUAUCUGAUUCUGCUAUAUGACAACGUGUGGGCUAUGUGGCUAACUUCUCAGAGCUUCAGUUUUCUCAAGGGCAAAAUGAAAAUAAUAGAAAUAAUAGAAUCCACCUCACAGGGCUGUGAAAUUAAAGGGGAUGAAAGAUACAUUGGUCCCUGCAGUGGGAAGUUUCCUUGACAAUGCAAUUAUUGAUUCCAGAAGGCUGAACAAAUGUUGACAGAGGAACACACUGUUUGCUUAUGUCUAAUCUUCCCAUCUGACUUAUAUAAAUGUCACAAAUGAAUCUCAGACAUGUGCCCAAUAUCAAAUAUCCAUACGAUGGCCCUGGAAAGAGGCAAUCUACAUUUAUGGCUGAUGAGAAGAUGGAUUUUUAGCUUGAAAGAAACUUAUUACUGGGGAGAGGAAGUAUAAAUGAAUGGAGAGAGCUAUGAAGAGGUUGAGAGAAUACAGCCAAGGCACAUGACAGAAUUGCUCUGUUGAAGUUUUGCAAGGUCAAAUGACUCACUUUGUCUAAUGGAACGGGAACGAACAAUUUUUUUGUGUCACGUUUGAACAGAUACCUUUGAGAAGUUUAUGAUUCUCCAAGUUCUCUUUCUCCUACUGUGGCACCUACUGACAAGAUAAAUGUGUAGAGGUUCCUGAGUCUAGGGGCACUGGAACCAGCUGACUGAUCUAUGGAAGUUCCCUUGGUCUCCAUUUGUUUAGAAAAGGGAUGAAGAAACUGAGGCCCACAGAAGGUGGGUGAUACCUGCAAAAUCACAAGCUUUCAUGGUGAAAGAAGAGGGCAAAACUCAACCCGUCUCUUUAGACUUGGGAAGAAUAUGAAAGGACCAGGAGGGACACCUUUCCUAAUAACCUAGCUGAUGGUUCACUUAUUGUAAGCACAUUCUCAAACAAGAGGCUGGAAAGCUGAAAAAUGACAUUCCCAGACUCCAUUGAAAUUAGAUUUCCAGAGGUGAUUUAUGUUCCACACAUCAGAUGUAUAUGCUCAAGAUUUGUUUAACAGGGAAGGAGGCAGUGGUGUGUGGGUCCCUUUUGCUCAUGUGAAUCUUACAGAGUUGUCUCACUAAGCCCAAAUUUGUCUAACUGGCCUUAUUUCCCUGGAGUAUAUCCUGGAAGUUUCCAUUCAAGCCAAUUUAAGUUACUUUAAAUUAGGAAAGGCAGAAAACAAAAGCCCAAACCUUUGUAAAGGAGGAGGAUUUGCUACAUUGUUCUCAAUUCAUCACAGAAGAGGAUGAAACUGAGUGAUUACACUUGCUGGAGAGAAAAAAAGUCCUUCCCCCGCUCACCCCAAAUAAAGCAUUAACUUUAUGUUAAUCCAUGAA
rnacentral:lncRNA from 1 species